rnacentral:rRNA from 1 species
AUUGAACGCUGGCGGCAGGCCUAACACAUGCAAGUCGAGCGGAUGAAGGGAGCUUGCUCCUGGAUUCAGCGGCGGACGGGUGAGUAAUGCCUAGGAAUCUGCCUGGUAGUGGGGGAUAACGUCCGGAAACGGGCGCUAAUACCGCAUACGUCCUGAGGGAGAAAGUGGGGGAUCUUCGGACCUCACGCUAUCAGAUGAGCCUAGGUCGGAUUAGCUAGUUGGUGGGGUAAAGGCCUACCAAGGCGACGAUCCGUAACUGGUCUGAGAGGAUGAUCAGUCACACGGGGACUGAGACACGGUCCAGACUCCUACGGGAGGCAGCAGUGGGGAAUAUUGGACAAUGGGCGAAAGCCUGAUCCAGCCAUGCCGCGUGUGUGAAGAAGGUCUUCGGAUUGUAAAGCACUUUAAGUUGGGAGGAAGGGCAGUAAGUUAAUACCUUGCUGUUUUGACGUUACCAACAGAAUAAGCACCGGCUAACUUCG